GACGAACGCUGGCGGCGUGCUUAACACAUGCAAGUCGAGCGGUAAGGCCCUUUCGGGGGUACGACGAGCGGCGAACGGGUGAGUAACACGUGGGUGACCUGCCCUCAGCUCUGGGAUAAGCCUGGGAAACCGGGUCUAAUACUGGAUAUGACUCCAUGACGCAUGUUGUGGGGUGGAAAGCCUUGUGCGGCUGAGGAUGGGCCCGCGGCCUAUCAGCUUGUUGGGUGGGGUGANGGCCUACCAAGGCGACGACGGGUAGCCGGCCUGAGAGGGCGACCGGCCACACUGGGACUGAGACACGGCCCA
rnacentral:rRNA from 1 species